GUCCAUGCCGUAAACGAUGUGCACUAGGGAGAGGGCGGGUCCUAACUCGCUCCCUCCCAAGCAAAGCGUUAAGUGCACCGCCUGGGGAGUAUGCUCGCAAGGGUAAAACUCAAAGGAAUUGACGGGGGCUCACACAAGCGGUGGAGCAUGUGGUUCAAUUCGAAGCAACGCGAAGAACCUUACCAGGCCUAGACAUCAGGAUGUAACCGGCAGAAACGUCGGCCAACUCGCAAGAGAAAUCCUGUGCAGGUGUUGCAUGGCUGUCGU
rnacentral:rRNA from 1 species